AGACAACCUGUUAAGGGGAAAAACGACAACCUGUUCUUCAUGUGUCUCUCUCCUUUACCUGCUAUCACAGGUCAGUGUGUGUGUACACCGCGAUUUUUGCUCCGUGAUUUUGUUCUAUAUUAACAAAUAUUAAGAGCGUGAUUGUUUAUAGCAUGUUAUCUUGAUGUUUUGUUACUAAUUGACAGAGAAUAUAUAAGAAAGUUUCCCCGCGAAGACGCCAUUUUGUGCCGCGUGCGGCCGCAGUUGCACUAUAAGUGAAAAGUCUGUUUGUUGUGAAAGUCUAUUGUUAUGAGUUUUAUCUGACAUAAUUAUUUUUGUUUUUAUUUUGUUCAUGCGCCUGUUGCCAGGUAGAUUUAGUUUUGACAUAAGCACUUUGUUUAAUUUAGUAAUUUCAGUGCCCUGCUAUGGGAGCAAGGUAGAGAUAUAGGUAUAUACAUAUAAAUAUAUAGGCAGAGGAUUUAAGCAGCGAAAUUACACUACCUGGACUAGUGUUUCUAUCAGUUUGGACUGUGGUGAAAAAAAGGUAAUAUAUAUAUUUACGGAACUAUUGUGAAUCUGAAUUUCAGAGAGUAUGUUUAAAGAGCAAAAGAUGAGACAAUUUGUGAGACUAGUUGGUUGUUUGGUGAAAAGGUAAAUCUGAACAUAACACUGAGAUUUGUUGUAUACAUUGUGCUUAUGUGAUAAUUGAUGUUUAAUAAAACCAGAGACAACCUGUUAAGGGGAAAAACGACAACCUGUUCUUCAUGUGUCUCUCUCCUUUACCUGCUAUCACAGGUCAGUGUGUGUGUACACCGCGAUUUUUGCUCCGUGAUUUUGUUCUAUAUUAACAAAUAUUAAGAGCGUGAUUGUUUAUAGCAUGUUAUCUUGAUGUUUUGUUACUAAUUGACAGAGAAUAUAUAAGAAAGUUUCCCUGCGAAGACGCCAUUUUGUGCCGCGUGCGGCCGCAGUUGCACUAUAAGUGAAAAGUCUGUUUGUUGUGAAAGUCUAUUGUUAUGAGUUUUAUCUGACAUAAUUAUUUUUGUUUUUAUUUUGUUCAUGCGCCUGUUGCCAGGUAGAUUUAGUUUUGACAUAAGCACUUUGUUUAAUUUAGUAAUUUCAGUGCCCUGCUAUGGGAGCAAGGUAGAGAUAUAGGUAUAUACAUAUAAAUAUAUAGGCAGAGGAUUUAAGCAGCGAAAUUACACUACCUGGACUAGUGUUUCUAUCAGUUUGGACUGUGGUGAAAAAAAGGUAAUAUAUAUAUUUACGGAACUAUUGUGAAUCUGAAUUUCAGAGAGUAUGUUUAAAGAGCAAAAGAUGAGACAAUUUGUGAGACUAGUUGGUUGUUUGGUGAAAAGGUAAAUCUGAACAUAACACUGAGAUUUGUUGUAUACAUUGUGCUUAUGUGAUAAUUGAUGUUUAAUAAAACCAGAGACAACCUGUUAAGGGGAAAAACGACAA